GCAAUGUACUAUUUUGACCAUAAAUAGCCCAUACCUGAUUUAUUUGAAACUUCCCUGUAGAUCUGUCCAUCUCGAAAUCACAAAAAGUUUCUUCAAAACCUUUAUCAACUGAAAAAGUUGAUAUUUUUUUGGAACUUCCAACGGAGUUGCUGAGACCAAAGCUCUUCCUGCAUGAAUGCAACUCUCUAUCACCUUGACAUGACAAAUGAAUUGGCAUGCGGGGACUUGAGUGACGGCUUUUUUUAACACAAUUAUCAUCAAAGUCAGUGGAAGGACUGUCAUUGGCAGAACUAGAGCUCAUUUGAGUUCGCUUUUUCUCAGAGAUGUUCAUUUUUUUAGGAGUUAUUUGAACCUUGGAAGACUCUCCAUCAGUAGCAUGGAUGUCAUCCCCAGACUUCAGAGAUGUUGUUGCUUUCCUUGAUUUAUCUCUAGCUCCAAGUGGAACUGCAGGUAGAUCAUUU
rnacentral:misc_RNA from 1 species